GUGGUGUGAUCAGAGCAGCUUAUGUAUAGUAACUCUGCUGUUUACAGCACACCACAGAGCAACGUGCAGUUCUUCUGGCAGGGUUCAGGAGCGAAUUCUGCAAUGAUUAACUGCAUACAC